rnacentral:rRNA from 1 species
GACAGAGGGUGCGAACGUUGUUCGGAAUUACUGGGCGUAAAGGGUGCGUAGGCGGCGCGGUAAGUCGGGUGUGAAAUCUCGGAGCUUAACUCCGAAACUGCAUUCGAUACUGCCGUGCUUGAGGACUGGAGAGGAGACUGGAAUUUACGGUGUAGCGGUGAAAUGCGUAGAUAUCGUAAGGAAGACCAGUGGCGAAGGCGGGUCUCUGGACAGUUCCUGACGCUGAGGCACGAAGGUCAGGGGAGCAAACGGG